rnacentral:tRNA from 1 species
GCUGAUUUGGCCGAGUGGUCUAAGGCGAUGGUUUUAAGUUAUGUAGCGCGUGUACAAAAACUAUCACCAUUAUCGAAAGAUGCGUGAGUUCGAACCUCACAGUCAGCA